rnacentral:rRNA from 1 species
GCACGAGAAAGGGCUUCGGCCCCGGUACAGUGGCGCACGGGUGAGUAACACGUGGGUAAUGUUCCCUCGGGCGGGGGAUAACCUUCCGAAAGGAGGGCUAAUACCGCAUAAGACCACGGCCUCGAAAGGGGCUGCGGUAAAAGCAGGCCUCUUCAUGAAAGCUUGCACCUGAGGAUCAGCCCGCGGCCCAUCAGCUAGUUGGUAGGGUAAUGGCCUACCAAGGCUUAGACGGGUAGCUGGUCUGAGAGGAUGAUCAGCCACACUGGAACUGAGACACGGUCCAGACUCCUACGGGAGGCAGCAGUGGGGAAUCUUGCGCAAUGGGCGAAAGCCUGACGCAGCGACGCCGCGUGGGGGAUGAAGCUUCUCGGAGUGUAAACCCCUUUCGACCGGGACGAAUGCCCGCAAGGGAGUGACGGUACCGGUAGAAGAAGCCCCGGCUAACUACGUG